CCUACGGGAGGCAGCAGUGGGGAAUAUUGGGCAAUGGGCGCAAGCCUGACCCAGCAACGCCGCGUGAAGGAAGAAGGCUUUCGGGUUGUAAACUUCUUUUGACAGGGAAGAGUAGAAGACGGUACCUGUCGAAUAAGCCACGGCUAACUACGUGGCAGCAGCCGCGGUAAUACGAAGGUGGCAAGCGUUGUCCAGAUUUACUGGGGGUAAAGGGCGUGUAGACGGGUUGACAAGUCGGGUGUGAAAUGCUGCGGCUUAACCGCAGAACUGCAUUUGAAACUGUUGAACUUGAGUACUGGAGAGGCAGACGGAAUUCCUAGUGUAGCGGUGAAAUGCGUAGAUAUUAGGAGGAACACCAGUGGCGAAGGCGGUCUGCUGGACUGCAACUGACGGUGAGGCGCGAAAGCGUGGGGAGCAAACAGGAUUAGAUACCCGAGUAGUC
rnacentral:rRNA from 1 species